rnacentral:sRNA from 1 species
UUGAAUGUAAUACAGCAAGCCAUCACACCAAUAUUGAGUGAUAAGCCCAUCUGUGUAGGACGAAUGCUUUGGUAGAAUCCACGCCAGCUCUCCAAGCCAUCCCCCAAUGAUUGUUUUUUUCCUAUAUCAGGGGAAUAAAAGGACCGGCCCACCGGAAUAUACCUGAUUCUAACAUGUUAGCAAAACUAAACCAGCUGAGACUUA